GCAAGUUCUGGCCAAGCGCUGACCAUUCUGCAGAAUAAGGAUCAGAACUUUACAGAGGUUAACUGUGUCUGUUGUUUUUACUAUUACAGUUCAUCGUGGCCCUGUCGUUCGCCUCCUUCACCAAAGCUCUGUCAGGGACCUACAUGAAGAGUGCCAUCACUCAGAGAGACACUUUGACCUGUCCAGCUCUCUCAUCGGACUCAUAGAGGACAGCUUUGAGAUGGGUAACCUGCUGUUCCUGGCUGUGGUCAGCCAUUUUGGGGCGAAGCUGCACCGGCCCAAGCUCAUUGAUGGGGUUAGGAUUUGGGCUAAAUCAACUGAUGCUGAUGUAAUUGUGUUUUCUGAAACCUGGCUCAGCAAGUCUGUUUUUGAUAAGGAUAUUUGUAUAAGUGGUUACAAUGUUUAUCGCACUGAUCGAGUUAAGAAAGGUGGGGGUGUGGCUAUAUAUGUAAAAAUGAAUUUCCCUGUAAGUGUGGCAAAGUCUGAAACUAUUUGUAAACAGUUGGAAUUUCUUGCUUUGAAUAUUGAGGUUUCAAAGGGUCUUUCUAUAACUGUGAUUGGCUGUUAUAGACCCCCUUCUGCUCUCGGUGAUGCAUUUUCUUCUUUGACGCACCUUAUGUCUAAACUUCUUUACAGUGAAAUGAUGUUGAUUGGUGAUCUCAACUGGUGUUGGUUAAAGCCGGUGUCUGAUGAUUUAAAAAUGUUUUGUAAUUCUAUGAAUCUUACCCAGUUGAUUAACUCACCCACUCGCCCAAAUCUUAAAUGCCCAGAUAAAUCUACCCUGAUUAUUUUAUAUUAACAAAUGUUCCAAAUAAAUAUCCUGCGGUUGGUGUUUUUUGUAAUGA